rnacentral:rRNA from 1 species
GGAGUAAUACAUCGGAACGUGCCCUGUAGUGGGGGAGUAACUAGUCGAAAGAUUAGCUAAUACCGCAUACGACCUGAGGUGAAGUGGGGACGCAAGGCCUCAUGCUAUAGGAGCGGCCGAUGUCUGAUUAGCUAGUUGGUGAGGUAAAGGCUCACCAAGGCGACGAUCAGUAGCUGGUCUGAGAGGACGAUCAGCCACACUGGGACUGAGACACGGCCCAGACUCCUACGGGAGGCAGCAGGC